AGCACCCCACUCUCUCAAGACGGAGAACAUGAACCGCGCUCCAAAGAGAGAGAGCGAGCGAGCGAGAAGGAGAGAAAGAGACAGGGAGAAAGAGGGAGCUCCCCAUUCAAGCGAAGAAAGAAAAGAAAAAACGACGCUCCUCGGUCCUUUUGAGGGCGGAUUGGAUCUUUUUUUUAGCAUCAUGAAAUGCUAAUUUCUCGUUCCUUCGUCACCGAACGCAGCGCAAACGCAGAUCGCCCUCGGUGCCGCACGCACAGACUGGGAGCUCUACGAGAAACUUUUCACUCUCGCAGCCUUUUUUGAUUUUUUUCUUUUUUUUACAUUAUUUAUUGAUCGUCGAUCGGCCUUUUCCUCUGUGGAUUGUUGGACUUGUCAGAGGGAGUACGAACCAAGAUCGUGUGGAUUUUCCCUUUUAUUUUAUUUCUUUUUUUUUUUAUUCCUAUAAUCGAUUUUUGUUUUAUCCUGAGGAUUUGCUCGCAGGUGCCUCCAGCCUGUGGCAGUAUGGGAGUGCUGCUCUGACACCCCCCUCCUCCUCCUCCUCCUGCUCAGUGUCACGGGUUUUGCUCCACUGUAGAGGCCUUUUAUUCCCAGCUUUAGAUCUGCCUUCACCCUUUUAACCUGCGGUUUGGUUUCGAGGCCCUUUUUCAAAGCGUCGGAAAAGCCAAAAAUCAUGAACUUUGGUGUCUAUUCGCUGCAGUUGGUGUUAGCAGCGCUGCUCCACGCGUCUGCACUGAAGGCGGCACACAUACCUAAAGAGGGAUGGAAAAGCAAAAAUGAAGUUAUUGCUUUCAUGGAUGUCUACACAAAAAGCCAGUGUAACACUCGGGAGGUUCUUGUUGACAUCCUGCAGGAGUAUCCAGACGACAUUGAAUCUACUUACAUCCCUUCCUGCGUAGUUCUCAAUCGCUGCGCAGGCUGCUGCAACGAUGAAGCGCUUGAGUGUGGUCCUACAGAGACGCGAAACGUCACAAUGGAGGUAUUACGAGUGAAACAAGCUGUAUCGCAACACAAAUUUCAGUUGAGUUUCACGGAACACACAAAAUGUGAAUGCAGACAAAAACAAGAAGUCAAAACAAAGAAAGAAAAAAAACCCAGAGUGGGCAAAGGUCAAAAGGGAAAGAGAAAGAGACUCAGAGGCCCCGGGCCCCAGGCCUAUAGCAGCGGACUCGCUCCUCUGCAGCCCGGCCCUGUUUGCCUCUUGCUUGUGGGUUUUGUUUUAGCGGAGUUUGUCUGGUCCUCCUGAUGCUGAGUGUUUUCCCCUCUCUGCUGUGUGUUAGUGUGAGGCUAGUGCAGGGUCGUGGCUCAGAGGCAGCAGAAGAGAUGUGACAAACCAAGAAGAUGAUCAGGCUGGACGUCGGUGGACACCGAAAUGAAUGAAGGAAUACUUUUCUUGGCACUUUUUUUUCAACCUGUGGACCAUACUGCAUAACACUACACCAGAAAAAACAACAAAGAAGAGUGUGAGGCGCGUUAUCCCCGUGUAUAUUUUUAAGAAAUUAAUAUAUAUAAAUAUAUAGUUAUAUAUCUUUAAAGUAAGAGACAUUGACAAUGUGUAAUGCUGCUAUGGAAACACGGUGAACGACAGUGCCAUGAACAAUGGCAUGAGAGAGGGAUACAUUUUAGUGCCAGUGCAUUUGGACCUGUGAAUGGACGAAAUAGAGGGAUAUUCACACGAAAAAACCCAACAAAACACAGAUGGUGGACACCGCUUCACUGAACGGAGCUGCUGUGGAUUAAUAUAA